CACCACAGAAGGUAAUAGUCCUGUAUGUUAAACGAGAAGACUUUAGAUAUGAUCCAGAGUACCACGGGACACGUGAAACCCUGUGGGAAGCAGGAGGGACCACCCUCCAAGGCUAAAUACUACCUAGUGACCGAUAGCGUAUAGUACCGGGAGGGAAAGGUGAAAAGAACCCCGGGAGGGGAGUGAAAUAGAACCUGAAACCCUGCACUUACAAGCUGUGGAAG
rnacentral:rRNA from 1 species